rnacentral:rRNA from 1 species
AUUGAACGCUGGCGGCAGGCCUAACACAUGCAAGUCGAGCGGAGCGGCGGACGGGUGAGGAAUGCCUAGGAAUCUGCCUGGUAGUGGGGGAUAAAGUCCGGAAACGGGCGCUAAUACCGCAUACUCUCAGAUGAGCCUAGGUCGGAUUAGCUAGUUGGUGGGGUAGAGGCCUACAAAGGCGACGAUCCGUAACUGUUCUGAGAGGAUGAUCAGUCAAACGGGAACGGAGACACGGUCAAGACUCCUACGGGAGGAAGCAUUGGGAAAUAUUGGAAAAUGGGCGAAGGCCUGAUCCAGCCAUGCCGCGUGUGUGAAGAAGGUCUUCGGAUUGUAAAGCACUUUAAGUUGGGAGGCGUUACCAACAGAAUAAGCACCGGCUAACUUCGUGCCAGCAGCCGCGGUAAUUC